GUGGGCAGCAAUUUUCUUGGUCCUUCCAGGAGCAGGGCAGGCAGGACUCGCCCCUUUCUGCGGGGAUCAAGCUGAAAGCAAAGACCUUCACCUGUCAGCACCUGGUCGGUGGCGGCCGCCAACAAGCCCACAGCCUGUGUCAGGCACCUGCCUGAGAUGCUGUGCGUCCCCCCCCAAAAAACUCUCGUCAAAGCUGCCUCAGCUGCGGGGGAAAUGCGGAAAUCACACCGUGGUUUGUAACAAAUUCGGUUUCUAUUCCCGCCCCCGAAAUGCAAAGCAGAACACAAUAGGGAGUGUACCUGUUCUCCUAGCGGAUAGCAGCCCGAACGCCGGGAGCCCCGGUGCAGGGCCAGGCUCUGUCUGCAGCCCUGCAGUGGCGAGCCCUGCCAUGCCCAGCUCGUGACCUCAGGACCACGCCGAGACCACGCCGUGCAGCCUGCGCGCCUCACGUUUGCGAAGCAUUCCUGGAUUCCUCAUGCGCUCCCCGUGACUCAGCAUCCGCCUCAUUUGAACUAAAGCUGUUUUAAACCCAGGACACCUGGAAAGCUGCCUCAGCUAAGACGUCCUGCUUGGAUCCCCCCGCAGACCCGGGGCCGCUGGCAGGGAGUCCACCCUGCAACGUGAAUCACCAUUUAAAAUCAGGAUUUCACC
rnacentral:lncRNA from 1 species